rnacentral:rRNA from 1 species
GAUGAUGGAUCCGAAGAGAUUUGGGAGUGCUCGAAAGAGAACCAUCACACAGGUGCUGCAUGGCUGUCGUCAGCUCGUGUCGUGAGAUGUUGGGUUAAGUCCCGCAACGAGCGCAACCCUUGUCAUUAGUUGCUACGAAAGGGCACUCUAAUGAGACUGCCGGUGACAAACCGGAGGAAGGUGGGGAUGACGUCAAGUCCUCAUGGCCCUUAUGGGUAGGGCUUCACACGUCAUACAAUGGUACAUACAGAGGGCCGCCAACCCGCGAGGGGGAGCUAAUCCCAGAAAGUGUAUCGUAGUCCGGAUUGGAGUCUGCAACUCGACUCCAUGAAGUUGGAAUCGCUAGUAAUCGCGGAUCAGCAUGUCGCGGUGAAUACGUUCCCGGGUCUUGUACACACCGAACGA